rnacentral:tRNA from 1 species
AGUAAAGUCAGCUAAUUAAGCUAUUGGAAUCAUGCUCCCGAAAUGAAAAUAAACUUUUCCUUUACUA